GGGAAGACAUUAAAACAGAAGCAGAAUCUGAGCUCACUUCAACGGACAUUAGUUGUGCCAUUUGGUGUCUGCAGGGCACUGGGCUAGGUGUCAGAGGACAGAGGUGAGGAAGAAGUCGUCCCGCCCUGAAGGAUCUCAGUCUAGUCAGAGACAAGCUGUAAAUGGAUUAGUUCAAUAUGCUGUGGUGAUGAUAGUGAAGCUUGCUCUGGAGGAUGCUGUGAGGUCCGCUCUGGAGAUAGUUGCAAAGGGCCGUGGAUUGUUGUGCUCCUGGUGGACGGCACCAUUCCUGAGAUGGCUCUCCAUCCAUUUUUCCUGCUUGGCUGUUUUCUGGAAAGUGGAGAAAAAUGAUGGAGCUCUGCCCCAAGGAUCUCCUCUCACCACGAAUGCUAACAGAGCAGACACUCUGAACCGGCGGAGACGACUCAGCAUUUCCGAGGGUUUGACCCAAAACCAAGAAGAAAAUAUUUCAGAAACAGUUCCUGUAGAAUCUCACACAAAUGUGUAUGUGUGAGGGGCUUGGCUCCAGUGGGAUAAGCAGAUGCAUAGCUCCUAGGCAAGUACUCCUGGAUCUGGCUACCUUAUGGGACAUCUGAGAUUAGUUCUUAGAGCCUCCGACUAUACAGUGCAAAGAUCUUGAAAAAUUCCAUUCCUUCACUUGACAGAAUGAGAUGCCCCAGAACUGAGGGUGUUGUGUAAAGGCAGAAAAAUAUGGGGACAGCGGGCAAAAAGGGGGUGAGGAGUGAGAAUGACAAGAAGACAGCAGAAUCCACUCAAUGAGAGGUCUGAUUUCCAUUUCACACUGUGGGCAAGAUCAAUUUGAUUUGCCAGGAGAGAUCUUGGGUUGUGUGUGUUGCUAAUGCAGAGGGGGUGAGUGGCUAUAUGGAUGCACUUUCUGUGGCUUGUAAUUCUAUAGAGUCUAGGAUGCCUCUAAGUUUCAAUCCUCUUCUUUCCCUUGGAAUGCCUUGUCAGCUGCUGUCUGCUGGCCACUUGAGCAUGGUGAUCUGUCACCUCUACUCUUGAUUCCUUUUACGAAGGAAUUGCAUUCCCACACUCCCAGUAAAGCAUUGGGGUUCUCCUCUACCUUCACUCACUCAAUGAAAUUUUUGCUGUUGUUGUUGCAGGUAUUCUGUAUUCUAAGCACUGUGCUAGACACCAGGAAUACAGUGGAACUUGACGUUAAUCAAGUUGUCCUGAAGCAAUGUAAAUUCUAUGAAGAGGAUUCAGUGCCCUGGAGCCACUAUGGAUCAUAUUUCUCACUGCACAGAGACAGUCUGCCUGAGAAUUGGUCCACCACAGUGAGAAGCAGAGCCGAGGGAUGGAGAAGGAAGAGCUACACCAUGAUGGGACCACUGGGCUCCACCAGCAACUAAAACCAGGUCGUACUACUCCUGUAUUUUUCACUUAGAUGAACCAACAAAUCAAUUUCUUUGUCUUCCCUCCUGCCUCCCUGUCUUUUUUUCUCUUUUUUCCUUUUUUGUUAAAUUGGUUUGAAUUGAGAUGCUGACUGGUAGAGAGUCCUUACUAUACCUUCAUGAUCGUUAUUAUCACCUUAGAAAAUGCUAUGAACUUAAAAAAAAUUCCUGUAUGUUUGUAUAUCUUUGAAAUUUGUAUACACACAUUUGUGCUUGAUGAUUAGGAUGAACAUUCUUUUUCUCAUUUGUGAAUCAUGUAUUCAUGUUUUGGUCCACUUAUUUAUUAAGUUUUUAGUUUUAAAAGCAUUUGCAUAAGUUUAUUUCAUGCUGAAGAUAU
ensembl:lncRNA